GUUCUUAUAUUAGACCAAGUAGAGUUGAACAAUAAAAAAAAAAAAAAAAAAAAAAAAGGAAAUAAAUAAAGAGCCGUGGGGGCUAGUGGGGAUUAAUACAGUGUUAGUGAUUUGUAUCUUUUUCAGGUAACCGGCCCUGCAAGGCGUGGCUUCUGGGACAUUCAUACAUACAUUGGGCAGAGCAACGGGCUAUGUUUCAACGGUCGGAUGGCCAGUUGGGCUUUCAACACACGCAGGUGCAAUUGCGGUGGGUCAGCAGGAGGGGGCUUAAAUGGGUGGAAAUUGUACCCCUGGUUGUGCAAAAAGCGAAAGAAUUCGGCCCUCCUAACAUUAUUGUUUUACACGCGGGGGGCAAUGAUGUAGGGCAAUGUCCCAUGAAGUUUUUAAUAAAAGACAUUAGGAGGGAUUGUCUCAGAUUGUGGUCACUUUUUCCUGGGGUCGUUCUAAUAUGGUCGGAGAUCAUCCCUAGAGCUCAUUGGAGAGGGGCCCAUUCGCACCAAGCCGUAAACAGGGCUAGGAUUAAGAUCAACCGGGCAGUUUCAAAAUUUGUGCAGGGCAAUGGAGGGAUAAUUGUGAGGCACAUGGAACUAGAGAAAGACAGGGAUUAUUUUCUACCAGAUGGGGUGCAUUUAAACGAGUUAGGCCUGGACCUAUUUAAUUUCAGCUUGCAGGAGGCCAUUACAUUGGCUUGGAGGGCAUGGCGGUGUAUGCGGAGCUGAAGGUGUCCAGCUCGGCAUACAGUGGCGGGUCUUUUUGUCAGUCUGCCGGGGAGGUGAUCUGUUAUGGGAUGACUGAUCAGGUCAAAUGGGUGGUUUAACCCCUUAAGGUGGGUGACCACGGUUAACAGAUGGAGUACUAAAGGGGGGCAAUAGGAAGCCCCGGGAGAGGCGGCAGGGAUCCUCUUAGCUAGGGAUUGGGCGGCUGGAGGAUAUCCUGGCUUGCUUUGGAAGGGGUAGACUGACAAUGGGCUCAGGCAGACAAGUUUGGGUUACUUAUUGUUAUUAUCUAAUGGAAUUGUUGUAAUGUUAUAAAAGGGAUGUUAUGGAUGAACUAUUUCAUGCUUACAAUUGUAUUGAUGUUAUGCAUUGUUAUGUACUAAUAAAAGCUGUGGCCAUGAUCAUUCCAAAUAA